rnacentral:rRNA from 1 species
AUACGGAGGGUGCAAGCGUUAAUCGGAAUUACUGGGCGUAAAGCGUGCGUAGGUGGUUUGUUAAGUCAGAUGUGAAAGCCCCGGGCUCAACCUGGGAACUGCAUUUGAAACUGGCAUACUAGAGUAUAGGAGAGGAAAGUGGAAUUUCAGGUGUAGCGGUGAAAUGCGUAGAUAUCUGAAGGAACAUCAAUGGCGAAGGCAGCUUUCUGGACUAAUACUGACACUGAGGUACGAAAGCGUGGGUAGCAAACAGGAUUAGAUACCCCAGUAGUCC